UGUUGUUCAUGUCUAGACACUACUCCUACAUUGUAUCGUUUCUUGUUAUAUUAAACUUACAACCUGCACCUGCUUCUCGACUCCCAGCGUCUGCAUUACAGAAUAUUGCCUCGCAAAAUGGAAGCAGCAGGAAAUCAGAACAUCUCCCAGACCUUCUUUGUCAACACCACGACCAGCUGGCACAACUGGGGUUGGCUAUGGAAGAGGUUCUUUGCAGUGUUCAAUGUCUUGAACACACUGAAGAGGUGUUGCUUUCAACUGGAGAAGGAUACUCUACCACCAGGCAAGCCAGCACACCAGCCCAUUCAGCAACCUUCCCAGAUGGGAGCUUCUACCACAGAGAGUUCCAAGAUUGCCACAGUUAUUUUUCUGCUGACUGGUCGGGCGUUAGAAUGGGCCACGGCCAUCUGGGAGAGGAGGAGAGGGAUGAAUGGAAGACAGCUUUUAGCACGAUUGAGGAGAGAGGUCACUACAAGAGUCUGGUCACUACAAGUACUUGGUGAUGCCAUUUGGCUUAGCCAAUGCUCCGUUAGUGAUCCAGGCAUUUGUCAACGAGGUGUUCCGGGACAUGCUCGGACACCAGGUGACCGUGUAUAUCGAUGACAUCCUGGUCUACUCGGCUACCUUGGAGGAUCACAUCGCUCACAUCCAAGUAGUCCUGGAACGCCUCCUGGCUAACCACCUGUUUGUCAAAGCUGAGAAGUCCUACCAAAUCGGCCAGUGAGGACUGAAGAUAAACGUCUACAAGGUCGAUGCCAACUUCUACCUCCAUUUCAUUAGGAACUUCCGCUCCAUCGUAGCUCCUCUCUCCUCAAGGGUGGUCUCGUAGAUUGGUGUGGAGUCCAGCAGCCAAUGAGGCCUUCCGUAUACUCAAGGGACGUUUCACCUCCGCCCCUCUGCUCAAACACCCAGAUCCCACAAUAUCCUUUUUUGUAUAUAUUACAGAUCCCCAUUAGCUGCUGCCAAAGCAAAAUUCAAAAUUAAGACAGUUUAUACAUCUUUAAAAACAUUGCAAUACAUUCACAGAUUUCACAACACAUUGUGUACCCUCAGUCCCCUACACUACCACUACCACAUAUUUACAAUACUAAAUCCAUGUGCAUGUUAUUGUGUGUGUGUCUGUGCCAAUGUUUCUGUUGCUUCACAGUCCCCGCUGUUCCAUAAGGUGUUCUUUUAAUCUGUUUUUUUUAAAUCAAAUUUUACUGCUUUUGUCAGUUACUUGAUGUGGAAGAGAGAGCCAUGACUACAUGGUACUAUGUAGUACUGUGUGCCUCCCAUGGUCUGUUCUGGACCUGGGGACUGUGAAGAGACCUCUUAUGGCAUGUCUUGUGGGGUAUGCAUGGGUGACCGAGCUGUGUGCCAGUAGUUUAGACAGACAGCUCAGUGCAUUCAACAUGUCAAUAUCUCUCAUAAAUAAAAGUAGUGAUGUAGUCAAUCUCUCCUCCAAUUUCAGCCAGGAGAGAUUGACAUGCAUAUUAUUAACAUGAACUAUCUCUGUAAAUCCAAGGGCCAGCCGUGCUGCCCUGUUCUGAACGAAUUGCAAUUUUCCUUAGUCCAUUUUUGUGGCACCUGACCAAAUUACUGAACAGUAAUCAAGGUGCGACAAAACUAGAUCCUGUAGGACCUGCCCUGUUGAUAGUGUUUUUUGGAAGGCAGAGCAUCACUUUCUUAUAGACGUACUUCUUCCCAUCUUAGAUACUACUGCGUCAAUAUGUUUUGACCAUGACAGCUUACAAACUAAUGUUUUCACCUCACAGAUCAUCUCAACUUGCUCAAUUUCCACAUUAUUUAUUACAAUAUUUAGCUGAGGUUUAGGGUUCAGUGAGUGUUUUGUUCCAAAUACAAUGCUUUUAGUUAUAGAAAUAUUUAGGGCUUAUUCCUUGCCAAGCACUCUGAAACUAACUGUAGCUCUUUGUUGAGUGUCACAGUCAUCACAGUCACUUCUUUAUCAUGGCAGCCAUGUUUGUUUAUGUUUGGCAAAAA